GCCUGACGCAGAUGCUAGUUUCUAAGAUUAAGCCAUGCAUGUUUACGCAAUAGGAACGGACAGCUCAGUAAAACUGCGAUGAUUUAGUCUGGUAGGAUAAGAAACUUCGUGAAAAUGGAGCUAAGAUAGCAGAAUAAGACGCAGACCUAUCAGUUAGUUGGUAGUGUAAUGGACUACCAAGACGAUGACGGGGACGGGGAAUGAGGGUUUGAUACCGGAGAGGGAGCCUGAGAGAUAGCUCCCACGUCCAAGGACGGCAGCAGGCGCGAAAAUUGCCCACUCUUAGUAGGAGGCAGUUAAGAGACGUUAGAGAGAAGUUACGGUAAAGAUGGAAAGAUAAGAAUUGGAGGGCAAGUUUGGUGCCAGCAGCCGCGGUAAUACCGACUCCAAGAGUGUGUGAGAGAGAUGCUGCAGUUAAAAAGUCCGUAGUCGUAGAAGAUAGAAAAGAUAAGGAUAGUAGAAAGGAAUAGAGGAGCCGAUGGGGAUGACAGUAUAGCAGGGCGAGAGAUGAAAUGCCAAGACCCCUGGUGGACUAAGCGAGGCGAAAGCGGUGAUCUAGUAGGAGUUUUGAGAUCAAGGACGAAGGCCGGAGGAUCGAAAGUGAUUAGAUACCGCAGUAGUUCCGGCAGUAAAAGAUGCCGACAAGUUGAUGGGAGAGGCCGUUGACAGAGAGAAAUCAUAGAGUUCGGGCUCUGGGGAUAGUAUACUCGCAAGGGAGAAAAUUAAAGAAAUUGACGGAGCUACACCACAAGGAGUGGAUUGUGCGGCUUAAUUUGACUCAACGCGAGGAAACUUACCAAUGGCAAGCAAUGUGUAGAAAGGAGCAUUAUAGAAGUGGUGCAUGGUCGUUGGAAAUUGAUGGGAUGACUUUGGCCUUAAAUGGUUGAAUGAGUGAGAUCUUUAGACAUGUUCGAAGUAGGACAGGAGGGAAGAGGCGAUAACAGAUCCGAGAUGCCCUUAGAUGCAUUGGGCAGCACGCGCAAUACAAUAGGUCGAGAGGAAAGAAAGAGAAGGAAGAGGCGAUAACAGAUCCGAGAUGCCCUUAGAUGCAUUGGGCAGCACGCGCAAUACAAUAGGUCGAGAGGAAAGAAAGAGAAGGAAGAGAAUAAGAUGGAUUGUAGUCAGUAAGGGCUCCAUGAAAGAGGAAUUCCUAGUAAGUAAGUAUCAACAAUGGGUAUUGAAUUAGUCCCUGUAGCUUGUACACACCGCCCGUCACUAUCUCAGAUGUUUUUCAGGAUGAAGAGUCAAGGCUCUGAAUAAUGAAAAGUAGAUAAGAUGUAAG
rnacentral:rRNA from 1 species